rnacentral:rRNA from 1 species
UUGACGGGGCCCGGCACGAAGCGGUGGAGCAUGUGGUUAAUUCGACGCAACGCGAAGAACUUACCAGGGCUUGACAUCCCCUGACCGCGUAUGAAAGUACGUUUUCACCCUCGGGUGACAGGGAGACAGGUGGUGCAUGGUUGUCGUCAGCUCGUGUCGUGAGAUGUUGGGUUAAGUCCCGCAACGAGCGCAACCCCUAUUGUUAGUUGCCAUCAUUCAGUUGGGCACUCUAGCGAGACUGCCGGUAAUAAACCGGAGGAAGGUGGGGAUGACGUCAAAUCAUCAUGCCCCUUAUGACCUGGGCUACACACGUGCUACAAUGGUUGGUACAACGAGUUGCGAGUCGGUGACGGCGAGCUAAUCUCUUAAAGCCAAUCUCAGUUCGGAUUGUAGGCUGCAACUCGCCUACAUGAAGUCGGAAUCGCUAGUAAUCGCGGAUCAGCACGCCGCGGUGAAUACGUUCCCGGGCCUU